GUGCUCGCUUUGGCACCACACAUACUAAAAUCAAAACGAGACAAGAGAAGAUUAGCCUGGCCCCGGCACAAAGAUGAUACGCAAAUUCAUGAAGCAUUCCAUUAAAAA